rnacentral:rRNA from 1 species
GUCUUGGCCCUAAACUAUGUUCACUAGGUGUCGGGGGUUUCCCUCGGUGCCGCAGCUAACGCAUUAAGUGAACCGCCUGGGGACUACGGCCGCAAGGUUGAAACUCAAAGGAAUUGGCGGGGGCCCGCACAAGCGGUGGAGCAUGUGGCUUAAUUCGAUGCAACGCGAAGAACCUUACCAGGGCUUGACAUGCUACUGCAAGCUGCCGAAAAGCAGUCGCCUUCGAGGGUGUAGCACAGGUGGUGCAUGGCUGUCGU